GGCUCAGAUUGAACGCUGGCGGCAGGCCUAACACAUGCAAGUCGAGCGGUAGAGAGGUGCUUGCAUCUCUUGAGAGCGGCGGACGGGUGAGUAAUGCCUAGGAAUCUGCCUAGUGGUGGGGGAUAACGUUCGGAAACGGACGCUAAUACCGCAUACGUCCUACGGGAGAAAGCGGGGGGAUCUUCGGACCUCGCGCCAUUAGAUGAGCCUAGGUCGGAUUAGCUAGUUGGUGAGGUAAUGGCUCACCAAGGCGACGAUCCGUAACUGGUCUGAGAGGAUGAUCAGUCACACUGGAACUGAGACACGGUCCAGACUCCUACGGGAGGCAGGCAGUGGGGAAUAUUGGACAAUGGGCGAAAGCCUGAUCCAGCCAUGCCGCGUGUGUGAAGAAGGUCUUCGGAUUGUAAAGCACUUUAAGUUGGGAGGAAGGGCAGUAAGUUAAUACCUUGCUGUUUUGACGUUACCAACAGAAUAAGCACCGGCUAACUUCGUG
rnacentral:rRNA from 1 species